GGAGGAUUCGCCUAGUGGCCUAGGGCGCACGCUUGGAAAGCGUGUUGGGAGCAAUCCCUCAGGGGUUCGAAUCCCCUAUCCUCCGCCA
rnacentral:tRNA from 18 species